CCUACGGUGUGCAGCAGUGGGGGAUAUUGCACAAUGGGGGAAACCCUGAUGCAGCGACGCCGCGUGAGUGAAGAAGUAUUUCGGUAUGUAAAGCUCUAUCAGCAGGGAAGAAAAUGACAGUACCUGACCAAGAAGCCCCGGCUAACUACGUGCCAGCAGCCGCGGUAAUACGGAGGGGGCAAGCGUUAUCCGGAUUUACUGGGCUUAAAGGGCGCGUAGACGGUUAUGUAAGUCUGGAGUGAAAGGCCGGUGCUCAACCCCGGGACUGCUUUGGAAACUGUGUAACUGGAGUACAGGAGGGGCAGGCGGAAUGCAUGGUGGAGCGGUGAAAUGCGUAGAUAGCAGGAGGAACACCGGCGGCGAAGGCGGCCUGCUGGGCUGAAACUGACGUUGAGGCACGAAAGCGUGGGGAGCAAACAGGAUUAGAUACCCGAGUAGUC
rnacentral:rRNA from 1 species